rnacentral:rRNA from 1 species
GUCGAGCGGUAGCACAGGAGAGCUUGCUCUCUGGGUGACGAGCGGCGGACGGGUGAGUAAUGUCUGGGAAACUGCCUGAUGGAGGGGGAUAACUACUGGAAACGGUAGCUAAUACCGCAUAACGUCUACGGACCAAAGUGGGGGACCUUCGGGCCUCACGCCAUCAGAUGUGCCCAGAUGGGAUUAGCUAGUAGGUGGGGUAAUGGCUCACCUAGGCGACGAUCCCUAGCUGGUCUGAGAGGAUGACCAGCCACACUGGAACUGAGACACGGUCCAGACUCCUACGGGAGGCAGCAGUGGGGAAUAUUGCACAAUGGGCGCAAGCCUGAUGCAGCCAUGCCGCGUGUGUGAAGAAGGCCUUAGGGUUGUAAAGCACUUUCAGCGAGGAGGAAGGGUUCAGUGUUAAUAGCACUGUGCAUUGACGUUACUCGCAGAAGAAGCACCGGCUAACUCCGUGCCAGCAGCCGCGGUAAUACGGAGGGUGCAAGCGUUAAUCGGAAUUACUGGGCGUAAAGCGCACGCAGGCGGUUUGUUAAGUCAGAUGUGAAAUCCCCGCGCUUAACGUGGGAACUGCAUUUGAAACUGGCAAGCUAGAGUCUUGUAGAGGGGGGUAGAAUUCC